rnacentral:tRNA from 1 species
CCGUUCGCCGCGUGGGAGGCCGUACGGCGCCGCCUUCCGGAGGCGGCGGUGGCGGGUGCCGGAUGGCUGCUGUUCGGCGGCAUGACCGGUC